rnacentral:rRNA from 1 species
UAACACAUGCAAGUCGAACGAGCGAGAGAGAGCUUGCUUUCUCGAGCGAGUGGCGAACGGGUGAGUAACGCGUGAGGAACCUGCCUCAAAGAGGGGGACAACAGUUGGAAACGACUGCUAAUACCGCAUAAGCCCACGGGUCGGCAUCGACCAGAGGGAAAAGGAGCAAUCCGCUUUGAGAUGGCCUCGCGUCCGAUUAGCUAGUUGGUGAGGUAACGGCCCACCAAGGCGACGAUCGGUAGCCGGACUGAAAGGUUGAACGGCCACAUUGGGACUGAGACACGGCCCAGACUCCUACGGGAGGCAGCAGUGGGGAAUAUUGCACAAUGGGGGAAACCCUGAUGCAGCGACGCCGCGUGGAGGAAGAAGGUCUUCGGAUUGUAAACUCCUGUUGUUGGGGAAGAUAAUGACGGUACCCAACAAGGAAGUGACGGCUAACUACGUGCCAGCAGCCGCGGUAAAACGUAGGUCACAAGCGUUGUCCGGAAUUACUGGGUGUAAAGGGAGCGCAGGCGGGAAGACAAGUUGGAAGUGAAAUCUAUGGGCUCAACCCAUAAACUGCUUUCAAAACUGUUUUUCUUGAGUAGUGCAGAGGUAGGCGGAAUUCCCGGUGUAGCGGUGGAAUGCGUAGAUAUCGGGAGGAACACCAGUGGCGAAGGCGGCCUACUGGGCACCAACUGACGCUGAGGCUCGAAAGUGUGGGUAGCAAACAGGAUUAGAUACCCUGGUAGUCCACACCGUAAAC